UAGGGAAUCUUCCGCAAUGGACGCAAGUCUGACGGAGCAACGCCGCGUGAGUGAAGAAGGAUUUCGGUUCGUAAAACUCUGUUGUUAGAGAAGAACAGCGCAUAGAGUAACUGUUAUGCGUGUGACGGUAUCUAACCAGAAAGCCACGGCUAACUACGUGCCAGCAGCCGCGGUAAUACGUAGGUGGCAAGCGUUGUCCGGAUUUAUUGGGCGUAAAGCGAGCGCAGGCGGUCAAUUAAGUCUGAUGUGAAAGCCCCCGGCUCAACCGGGGAGGGUCAUUGGAAACUGGUUGACUUGAGUGCAGAAGAGGAGAGUGGAAUUCCAUGUGUAGCGGUGAAAUGCGUAGAUAUAUGGAGGAACACCAGUGGCGAAGGCGACUCUCUGGUCUGUAACUGACGCUGAGGCUGGAAAGCGUGGGUAGCAAACAGG
rnacentral:rRNA from 1 species